rnacentral:lncRNA from 1 species
GUCGUAACGGCUACAAACUUCUGCCCACCAAACAACGCCUUACCUAACAACAAUGGUGGUUGGUGUAAUCCUCCUCUUCAACACUUUGAUCUUGCUCAGCCUGUGUUUCAACGCAUUGCUCAAUACAGAGCUGGCAUCGUCCCUGUCUCCUACAGAAGGUAACAAAAGUCAACUUCUCUGCUUCAAAUUUUUCUUCAUAUGCUCUGUUUUUGAAAAACGAGUAUAUCAUAAUUCAGAAAACUUUAUUGGACAAAUCUUAAAAGUGGCGUUUUUUGUUUUUAUAAGAAAAUCUCCAAAUAUAAUUUUAUUAAUCAAUAAAAACAUUAAAUUAUCCUACUAUUAUCUAAAGCAUAACCAUAAUUUUACACCCUAAAUUAUAAUCAUUAAAUUCAAUCCUAAAAAAUAUAUAUAUAUAUUUAAAAAAAAAUUAAUUUAUGUUGAUUUAUCGACUUUGUAAUAUUUUUUUUUGUUAAGGUAAAGAUUGAUUUUAUAUUUCUCAACUUUUUUUAUUAGCUUUGUUCGAUGAACAUGAGUUGUGUGCUACUUUGCAGGGUUCCGUGUAUGAGAAGGGGAGGAAUUAGGUUUACCAUAAACGGUCACUCAUACUUCAACCUCGUUCUGAUCACAAACGUCGGCGACGCCGGAGACGUUCACUCGGCGGCGAUCAAGGGUUCAAGAACAGGUUGGCAAGCUAUGUCAAGAAACUGGGGGCAAAACUGGCAAAGCAACUCUUACC